ACCUCGGAAUUGCGCCUGAAACUGCUCGGCUAGAGCAUUGGAGAGGGUAGCGGAAUUCACGGUGUAGCAGUGAAAUGCGUAGAUAUCGUGAGGAACACCAGAGGCGAAGGCGGCUACCUGGACAAUUGCUGACGCUCAGGCACGAAAGCGUGGGGAGCAAAAGGGAUUAGAUACCCCUGUAGUCCACGCCCUAAACGGUGCACACUAGGUCUUGGAGGAUUCGACCCCUUCAGGGCCCAAGCUAACGCGUUAAGUGUGCCGCCUGAGGGCUACGGCCGCAAGGCUAAAACUCAAAGGAAUUGACGGGGGCCCGCACAAGCGGUGGAGCAUGUGGCUCAAUUCGAUGCAACGCGAAGAACCUUACCAGGCCUUGACAUGCACUGGACCGGCGCUGAAAGGCGCCUUUCCUUCGGGACCGGUGCACAGGUGCUG
rnacentral:rRNA from 1 species